GUACUAGGAUAACUAUUGAGAUAGAACUGCUUCCCAGCAUAGGAUAAUAUAGUGCCUAUCAAGUAUGUCAUUUGGCUUUAAAACAAUCAAUAGAAAAUGAAAAAGGUUGUUUAUUAAUGUAAGUGGUAGGCCUAAGUUCUUACUAGAAACGAGAAUAUAGCUCAUAUGUGUUAUAGUUUUAAGGUGGUUCCGUAUUGCGUGAGAUAGGUUCAAGCUAAAGAUAACAUGAGACUUAUUAUAGUUUAAGAACUUACCUAACAAUUAACAGUGAGUUUGGAGGAUACGAAGAAAAUUCUUGAGGUUUUAGUUCGAGGCUCUCCCAAAUAAGAUAAGAUCAUCAAUAUAGAGUAGAUGAGUGAUUGAGGGAGCUUGUACAUUAAUUUGUAAUCCUUAAAUAUAAUGUUAUGAUUCUGCUAGGUGUAGUAGCCUUAAUAGAACAUUUAUACAAAGGAUAAAUAGA
rnacentral:lncRNA from 1 species